GCCGUGGAUCAUGGACCGUCGUAGGGUCGUCAAUUGCUUCGUUGCUCGUCCUCUUCUGGGGUCGGAUCCUCUUCGUCACCCAGUCGCCGUUGGAUUGUCACAAUACACAUAUUUCAUAACAAUUUGAUCACCGGUGAAAACUCAUACAGCAAACUCUCUUGUUGAUUUGAGGAGCUGUUUAAUUUAGCCAACUCAGAUUCAAGUGCCACUUCUCAGUACCAAUUUAGCAUUACCGGUUUUGAGCUCUAUAAUGAAUAGGUCCUGUUCUCUUUUACUUACUGUAUACAACUUUUCUGGUAUCUACUGUUUGCUUCCUGGUUUUGGUUGGCAAUUUUCUUGUAUACAACUCUUAAAGUUGUUUAUUUAAAAAAAGCCAAGUUCCUAGUUGUUUAUAAGUUAUCUUGGAAGUGAUUAUACUCCCUGUACAGAUUGCACAGAAUAUAAGAACUCAAGUAAGACUUUAUGUCACUAUCUAGCUAUUCUUUGUAAAAUGAGUGGAGGAACUUUAAUUUUCAGGAGGGGGAGACUCACAUAAAAAUGGCAAAAACAAUUUUUUUUUUGUAGUUGCUGCCGUGUUACUCUGUGAUUGGUUAUUUAUGUUACAUUUUGUAACUUCUCUUUGUAACAAAAAUUACAACCAAAAUAUAUAUUAUUAGAGAUGUCAACCAACUAUUUUAAUGGUGUAUGCAUGGAAAUGUGAAACUGUAUUAUGUAAGAUUAUUAUAUAUCUAGGUCGCAUGCAUGGACUUCUUCAAUCAAAAGGAGGGAAGACAUGGUAAAGGAUGAUGACACUAAGAGGCUCUACCAUUUCUACUUUAGCAAUAAUUUUGUAUAUUAUUAUUACUAUUAUGCAUAACAAGUUUGAACUCUUAAGUUA